rnacentral:rRNA from 1 species
AUUGAACGCUGGCGGCAGGCUUAACACAUGCAAGUCGAGCGGUAGCACAGGGGAGCUUGCUCCCUGGGUGACGAGCGGCGGACGGGUGAGUAAUGUCUGGGAAACUGCCUGAUGGAGGGGGAUAACUAGUGGAAACGGUAGCUAAUACCGCAUAACGUCGCAAGACCAAAGAGGGGGACCUUCGGGCCUCUUGCCAUCAGAUGUGCCCAGAUGGGAUUAGCUAGUAGGUGGGGGAAUGGCUCACCCAGGCGACGAUCCCUAGCUGGUCUGAGAGGAUGACCAGCCACACUGGAACUGAGACACGGUCCAGACUCCUACGGGAGGCAGCAGUGGGGAAUAUUGCACAAUGGGCGCAAGCCUGAUGCAGCCAUGCCGCGUGUGUGAAGAAGGCCUUCGGGUUGUAAAGCACUUUCAGCGAGGAGGAAGGUGGUGAGCUUAAUACGUUCAUCAAUUGACGUUACUCGCAGAAGAAGCACCGGCUAACUCCGUG